rnacentral:rRNA from 1 species
UACGGAGGGUGCAAACGUUGCUUGGAAUCAUUGGGCGUAAAGCGCACGUAGGCGGUCCGUUAAGUUGGGAGUGAAAUCCCUCGGCUCAACCGAGGAAGUGCUUUCAAAACUGGCAGACUUGAAUACUGGAGAGGAUCGCGGAAUUCCCGGUGUAGAGGUGAAAUUCGUAGAUAUCGGGAGGAACACCAGUGGCGAAGGCGGCGAUCUGGACAGAUAUUGACGCUGAGGUGCGAAAGCGUGGGGAGCAAACAGG